rnacentral:rRNA from 1 species
GGGGCCUACGGGACGUAGCAGUGGGGGAUAUUGCACAAUGGGGGGAACCCUGAUGCAGCGACGCGGCGGGGGAGAAGAAGCGCCUCGGCGCGUAAAGCCCUGUCAGCAGGGAAGAAAAUGACGGUACCUGAAGAAGAAGCCCCGGCUAACUAAGUGCCAGCAGCCGCGGUAAUACGUAGGGGGCAAGCGUUAUCCGGAUUUACUGGGUGUAACGGGGGCGCAGACGGCGAUGAAAGCCAGGAGUGAAAGCCCGG